GAUGAACGCUGGCGGCGUGCCUAAUACAUGCAAGUCGAGCGAACAGAUAAGGAGCUUGCUCCUUUGAAGUUAGCGGCGGACGGGUGAGUAACACGUGGGUAACCUACCUAUAAGACUGGGAUAACUUCGGGAAACCGGAGCUAAUACCGGAUAACAUUUAGAACCGCAUGGUUCUAAAGUGAAAGAUGGUUUCGCUAUCACUUAUAGAUGGACCCUCGCCGUAGUAGCUAGUUGGUAAGGUAACGGCUUACCAAGGCGACGAUACGUAGCCGACCUGAGAGGGUGAUCGGCCACACUGGAACUGAGACACGGUCCAGACUCCUACGGGAGGCAGCAGUAGGGAAUCUUCCGCAAUGGGCGAAAGCCUGACGGAGCAACGCCGCGUGAGUGAUGAAGGGUUUCGGCUCGUAAAACUCUGUUAUUAGGGAAGAACAAAUGUGUAAGUAACUGUGCACAUCUUGACGGUACCUAAUCAGAAAGCCACGGCUAACUACGUGCCAGCAGCCGCCGUAA
rnacentral:rRNA from 1 species